CAUUUCUUCGUUUUAAGCGUGAGCUCCGGCAUCCGGGAAGAAAACAUCCUCUAGAACAUUCCAGGUUGGUCUAGACCGCUGGGCCGCCGCUCCAUUUCCACCAAAAUCAAACCAAACCCUCGCCUCGCCUCGCCGCCAUGGCCGACGGCGCCGCCCCCCUCUCCGCUGCCGGCCGCCGCCGGGACCGCCUCAGCGCCCUCAGCGACGACCUCCUCCACGAAAUCAUCACCCAGUACCUCCCCGUCACCGAAGCCGCCAAAACCGCCGCCCUCGCCAGGCGCUGGCGCCACCUCUGGAAGUCCACCCCGCUCGUCCUCCGCGACGCCGCCCUCCCCGAGCCCGCGCGCGACGCCGCGGUCCCGCGAGUCCUCGCCGAGCACCCAGGCCACUUCAGCGCCGUCGUCCUCCUCGACUGCAGGCUCGCCUCCCUGGACCGUGAGCUCCCCGACUGGCCGCGCCUCCUCGCCGACAAGCACACCCAGAAACUCUAUCUCGCCAACCGCUCCACCCCGAACCUGACCUACGACGCCUUGCCGCACAUCCCCGCCGACAUCCUCCGCUGCGACUCGCUCCAGGAGCUCUUGCUGGGCUUCUGGGCGUUCCCCGUCGACCUCUCCCACGGCGCCGGCAUCUCUCUUCCCAACCUCAGGUGCCUCACCUUGAUAAUGGUUGCCAUAAGAGACGACGACCUCGAGCACCUCAUCACUGCCUGCACCGUUCUGGAGAUCCUGAAGCUCAGCGGCACAACACCCAAGCGCAUCCAUCUCCGCAGCCCAAGCCUCCGGUGCGCGCUCGUUGGGCUGUCCAGGGUGGAGGACUUCGCGGUGGUGGACGCGCCGCUGCUCGAGCGGCUCGUCUUGUUUCUGCCCAGUAAGGUUACCACGGUCAAGAUCGGUUAUGCAGCCAACCUGCGGGUGCUCGGCCACCUGGAUACAAGAGUUCACAGGCUGCAGAUCCGCGACACCGCGAUCGGGCUUAACACAGUGCCCAGCACAAGCACUGCGAUUCCAAGCGUCAAGAUAUUGGCGGUGACUGUGAAUUUUGGUGUCCUCUGGGAGGUCAAGAUGCUGGCCUGCUUCCUCAGAUGCUUUCCCAAUAUUGACACGCUGCACAUCGAGUCUGCCCUGCAUGGUCCAUCUGUAACUGCCAAUGAACCCAGUGGGGAGCAUCAUGCCAGGUUCUGGCAGGAGGCAAGUCCGGUUGAAUGCGUGAGAUCAGACGUCAAGAAGAUGGUCAUCCACGAAUUCCGAGGGAAUCAAAACGAAUUCCAAUUCCUCAAGUUCGUCGCCAUGAAUGCCCAGGAGCUGCAGUCUUUGCAUGUUGUGUUGCAAGAAGAAAACAUUUCUUUGACUGACAAGGUGAACGAGAUAAGAGAGAAAUUGGAGAGUCUUCAGUUUCAAACAGGGAUCUCUGGAGUGCUGCUGGUGUUGCCUACAGAGGGCACUCUUUCGAGAUUGCAGAAAGCAACCGAUCUCACAUUCGAUGACCCUUUUCGCUUCUGAAUGCAUUGUUAUUUUGCCCAAUGUUUUUCAUGAUUGAUCCGCUCCUUUUGGGGAAUCGCUGACUGUAGAUCAUGUUGUUUCGGGUGUAGGCAUGCUUCUCCUGAGAUAUGGCUGAUUUCAACUAGCAUGAAUAUUGACCGGGAUAAGGAUUUGUUCUUGUUUAAUGCAUCAGCUUUAGUAGACAUGAUCAGGAUGGCAAAUGCUUGUGAUCCCAUGCCGUAUGAUAGCUCCGCUAGUUAACUUCUUAUUGUCCAUCAGAAGCUGAUCUUCUGUAGCUGAUCAGGACACGGCAAAUGCUUGUGAUCCCAUGCCGUAUUUAGGUUUGGCUGGCGUGUUGUGUGGAUGCCAUAAGAACUAAAUAUCAGUGUCCAAUCUCACAUAUCACUAUUGCUCAGGCUGUGCAAGCUUUGGACCAACGGCGGAGCCAGGAAAUAAGCAUAAGGGGGUGGACAUUGAGCACAACUUAAAAUCCCCACAAAAUUUACUGAAUAUAUAGGGUUUUGUUUUGUCACCGUAGCAAAAAUACGUACUGCCAUACCCUUAUUAGAUACCGAGAAAAUAAAAUGUUUAGACAUCUACAAUAGGUAGCCUGGAGUCAAAAUAUACGAUUUGAUAACU